rnacentral:rRNA from 1 species
UUCCUAGCGAGCCCAACCUCCCACCCGUGUUUACUGUACCUUAGUUGCUUCGGCGGGCCCGCCAUUCGUGGCCGCCGGGGGCUCUCAGCCCCGGGCCCGCGCCCGCCGGAGACACCACGAACUCUGUCUGAUCUAGUGAAGUCUGAGUUGAUUGUAUCGCAAUCAGUUAAAACUUUCAACAAUGGAUCUCUUGGUUCCGGCAUCGAUGAAGAACGCAGCGAAAUGCGAUAACUAGUGUGAAUUGCAGAAUUCCGUGAAUCAUCGAGUCUUUGAACGCACAUUGCGCCCCCUGGUAUUCCGGGGGGCAUGCCUGUCCGAGCGUCAUUGCUGCCCAUCAAGCACGGCUUGUGUGUUGGGUCGUCGUCCCCUCUCCGGGGGGGACGGGCCCCAAAGGCAGCGGCGGCACCGCGUCCGAUCCUCGAGCGUAUGGGGCUUUGUCACCCGCUCUGUAGGCCCGGCCGGCGCUUGCCGAACGCAAAUCAAUCUUUUUCCAGGUUGACCUCGGAUCAGGUAGGG